AGCUGCUCUGAAGGUAGUGAGUUAUCUCAGUUGAUUGUUCACAGUUACAGAUUGAACUCCUUGUUCUACUCUUUUCCCCCUUCUCACUAUUGCACUUGAAUAGUCUUAA
ensembl:misc_RNA Y_RNA Y RNA